rnacentral:rRNA from 1 species
GACGGAGGGUGCGAGCGUUAAUCGGAAUUACUGGGCGUAAAGCGUGCGCAGGCGGUUCGUUAAGUCAGCUGUGAAAGCCCCGGGCUCAACCUGGGAAUUGCGGUUGAAACUGGCGAACUAGAAUCUGGCAGAGGGGGGUGGAAUUCCACGUGUAGCAGUGAAAUGCGUAGAGAUGUGGAGGAACACCGAUGGCGAAGGCAGCCCCCUGGGCUGAGAUUGACGCUCAGGCACGAAAGCGUGGGGAGCAAACAGG